rnacentral:rRNA from 1 species
UGGGGAAUCUUGCGCAAUGGGCGAAAGCCUGAUGCAGCAACGCCGCGUGCGGGAUGAAGGCCUUCGGGUUGUAAACCGCUUUUGGCAGGGAAGAAAUUGCCGGUACUUGUAGAAGACGCUCCUGCCAGUUCCGUGAGAGCAAGCGCCGGCUUACGACGGGCCCACAGCCUGGGUGGAAUGAAGGGGCGAAACGGGAGCGUAGGUGGCUGGGGAUGUAGGGUGGGAAGUCCGGGGGCUAAACCCCGGGAG